GAUGAACGCUGGCGGCGUGCCUAAUACAUGCAAGUCGAGCGAACAGACGAGGAGCUUGCUCCUCUGACGUUAGCGGCGGACGGGUGAGUAACACGUGGAUAACCUACCUAUAAGACUGGGAUAACUUCGGGAGACCGGAGCUAAUACCGGAUAAUAUAUUGAACCGCAUGGUUCAAUAGUGAAAGACGGUUUUGCUGUCACUUAUAGAUGGAUCCGCGCCGCAUUAGCUAGUUGGUAAGGUAACGGCUUAUCAAGGCAACGAUGCGUAGCCGACCUGAGAGGGUGAUCGGCCACACUGGAACUGAGACACGGUCCAGACUCCUACGGGAGGCAGCAGUAGGGAAUCUUCCGCAAUGGGCGAAAGCCUGACGGAGCAACGCCGCGUGAGUGAUGAAGGUCUUCGGAUCGUAAAACUCUGUUAUUAGGGAAGAACAAAUGUGUAAGUAACUAUGCACGUCUUGACGGUACCUAAUCAGAAAGCCACGGCUAACUACGUG
rnacentral:rRNA from 1 species